rnacentral:rRNA from 1 species
AGCAGCCGCGGUAAUUCCAGCUCCAAUAGCGUAUAUUAAAGUUGUUGCAGUUAAAAAGCUCGUAGUUGAAUUUCGGAAUCAAUAUGUUGGUCGUGCCUUGGUACGUACUGGCAUUAUUGGUUUCUACCUUCUGAAGAACCUCGAUGUCAUUAAUUUGGUGUCUUGGGGAAUCAGGACUGUUACUUUGAAAAAAUUAGAGUGUUUAAAGCAGGCUCACGCUUGAAUACAUUAGCAUGGAAUAAUGAAAUAGGACGUUUGAUUCUAUUUUGUUGGUUUCUAGGAUCGACGUAAUGAUUAAUAGGGAUAGUUGGGGGCAUUAGUAUUCAAUUGUCAGAGGUGAAAUUCUUGGAUUUAUUGAAGACUGACUACUGCGAAAGCAUUUGCCAAGGAUGUUUUCAUUAAUCAAGAACGAAAGUUGGGGGCUCGAAGACGAUCAGAUACCGUCCUAGUCUCAACCAUAAACGAUGCCGACCAGGGAUCGGCGGAUGUUGCUCUAAGGACUCCGCCAGCACCUUCUG